UCAAUUCAAAUCCAACCUUAAUUAUAAAAAUAAUUGUCCAAGUUCAAAAAAAAGUCGAACACCCGAGUUUCGGAUUACCUAACUCAAAUUGCACCGCUGCAUGAUCAAUUUAAAAGUAGUAGUCUGAUACGGAGUAUCAUCAUUUUCCCCAAAAAAACAAAAAAAAAAUUAUCAUUUCUCUCUCUAACCACACUCAAGAGAAGAGUACACGCAGGAGGGAUGCGACACAUAUAGGGAGGAUACAGAGAGAGGGAGGGAGCACAUCGGCGAUAUGCUGAAAGUCGCUGGGAGCUCUAGCGAGAUUAAUUUCUGAGCGAUCGCAUAGGAUGAUCAACGCGCUAGGGUUUUGCAAUCAAUAAAUUUCAAUUGCGAUUGCAUUUACUUAGUGAUCCAAGAAAACAUAUUCAGGUUAUUCAAUUGCGAUUGGGUUUGCUGUGGAGAUUUCUGCUACAACAGACGGCGCCAACGCUCCCGACGAAGACGCUCCCGUCGUUGAUGUAUUUUCUACGCAAUUCCAACAAAAGGACGUCCAGCGAGAGUUUGUUCCGGCGUUACCUCUUUAAGGAAGUGAUGGCGGUACCACACUGAAAGUAAAUAGAGGGCCUACGGUGGAGAAGGGGCUUCAUCCAGCAGAGGGGUAGAGCCUGAGAAAGGAAAGGCAAUGGUCGGAAUCGGAGGAGUCAGAAAAGUGGGAGGGUAAGAGAAACGGGGAGAGCCCGUUCUCGCCACCAUCCUUGUCGCCGGCCUCGGUGAGUCACCGCUGCGGUUCACGCCGAAAAUUUCAGCAUCAGGUCGGAUAUUAUUUCUGCGUCAAGCCGGAAUAAAGAAGUAAGCCAAGCAUUACUGCCCAUGAAAUUUAUUCCAGCAACAGCCGAAAAUUCAGGCCGAAAUUUAUUCCUACAUCAGACCGGAAAUUUCAGUUCUCAACCCAUUGCCGGAAAUUUCAUUAGUUCAUGAAAUUACAAAAAAAAAAAUGAGAGAUACGUAUCAUCUCCUCAUACGAGUAAUUUUUUCAAACUGAAUUUAUUAGCAAAUUGAAUUUAUUAGCCAAAGUUGAUGUAAAAGCAUGGUCCAUCAUAUCAUAUAAUAGCAAAUUAAUAACAUAAAUUUAUAUUUUGUUUAAAUGUAAUAAAAAUAUUUUCUAUUGCGUAGGCUGGACCUGCUGGUGUGUUCACACGCAUGGAAGUAUUUUCAUCCAUACACCGUAGGCCACUGUCUCUCUCUCUCUAGAUUUGAACACACAAUCAAACAGGUCAUCAAUGCAGCUCAAAUAACAGUACCUUAUAAGCAUUGGUUGUGAAUUAUAUUGCAAAUGUGCUGGCAUACACAGCUCAUGUAAAUUUGAUUACUAAGCACGAGUACAAGGGAAAAAAAAAUGGAGGAGUUGACAUUUAAGAAUUUACAUUAUCAGUUUUGCCUCUUUGUUUUCAUUUAGGUUCUCUUCAGACUCAUUCAGUUGAUUCUUCCUUUGAGUUUUCCAUAAUCCAAAUGUGUUGCAAGUCCAAUGUAGGAGCCCCAAUGUAUCGCCUUGCCA